GGCCUGUCCAGUUGGUGUGGAUGAAAUGACCAGGGUUUGACAGCAGUUCGUACGUGUGAGCUCCAAAGUAAUCUCUCUGGGCCUAAAGAAAAAAAACAACAACACGUAAACAGCUGAUACCCACAGUGGGCUUCAGCUUCUACUGUGGUCUUACCUGGAGGAGGUUUGCUGGCAGCUUGUCGUGUCUGUAACCGUCAUAGAAGGACAAAGCUGUGGUGAAACAGGGCAUGGGGAUGCCAUGCUGGACUCCAGUGCUGACUGUUCUGCGCCAUGACUCCUAAACAAAGAAAUUAAACAGGUUGGUUUUCGGCCA